ACGCGGAAGUGCGAUGGCGGCGGCAGCCGAGGCAGCAGCGGGAAGCGGCCCGGGGUCCCAGCCCCCUGCCCAGCGGAGGCUGCGCAUCCUCUCUGGCCACCUGCAGGGCUCGCCGGGGAGCCGGGCGCCCGAGGCUGAGCGGUUCCUCUCCCCGAGCCAGUGCAGGGCGGGGGGCGCAGCUGAGCAGCCGGUCGCGUCCACCAUCCCUAAGAAACGGCAAGAAAUUCUGAAAUGGAAUGGAUGGGGAUAUAAUGACUCCAAAUUUAUAUUUAAUAAGAAGGGACAAGCAGAAUUCACAGGGAAAAGGUAUAGGUUGAGUGGUAUGGUGUUACCUGUUUUGAAGGAAUGGAUGGAAAAAACCUUAGGAGCAAGUCUGGAGCACAAAAUUACCUCUAGAGCUUUCUUAAAUACUAGUGAUGUACCCCCAUCUAUUGUAAAUGAAGAAUUUCUUCAGGAUCUUAGAGCUACUAAAAUUUCAUAUUCACAGGAAGCAGAAGAUAGGGUGUUCAGAGCUCAUGGUCACUGCUUACACGAGAUAUUUGUGCUAAGGGAAGGAAUGUUUAAACGAAUUCCCGAUAUAGUUAUAUGGCCAGGUUGCCAUGAUGACGUAGUUAAAAUUGUGGAACUAGCCUGCAAACAUAAUCUUUGCAUAAUACCAUUUGGUGGAGGAACAAGUGUUUCUAGUGCUCUUGAAUGUCCUGCAGAUGAGAGAAGAACUAUUGUUUCAUUGGAUACAUCACAAAUGAAUCAAAUUCUCUGGAUAGAUGAGAAAAACUUAACUGCUCAUAUAGAGGCUGGCAUUAUUGGACAAGAUUUGGAAAGACAGCUUGGUGAGAGUGGUUACUGUACAGGCCAUGAACCAGAUUCUAUGGAAUUCAGUUCUCUUGGAGGAUGGGUGGCCACGCGCGCAUCAGGCAUGAAAAAGAACAUCUAUGGAAACAUUGAAGAUUUGGUGGUUCAUAUAAAAAUGGUAACCCCAAGAGGAGUAAUAGAAAAAAGCUGUCAAGUACCUCGCAUGUCAACAGGACCUGACAUCCAUCAUUUCAUUAUGGGAUCUGAAGGAACCCUUGGAGUGGUUACAGAAGUUACCAUAAAAAUUCGACCAAUCCCUGAAUACCAGAAGUAUGGCUCUGUAGUAUUUCCUAACUUUGAACGAGGAGUGGCCUGUUUAAGAGAAAUAGCAAAGCAGAGGUGUGCUCCUGCAUCAAUUCGCCUUGUGGACAAUGCACAAUUUCAGUUUGGGCAUGCUCUUAAACCACAGGUUGCUUCAAUUUUUACAUCAUUUUUGGAUGGGCUGAAAAAAUUCUACAUCACAAAGUUUAAAGGAUUUGAUCCCAACGAACUGUGUGUAGCUACAUUACUCUUUGAGGGUGACAGAGAGAAGGUUCUUCAGCAUGAAAAGCAAGUUUAUGAUAUCGCUGCCAAAUUUGGUGGUCUGGCAGCUGGAGAAGAUAAUGGACAGAGAGGUUACAUGCUGACAUUUGUCAUCGCUUACCUUCGGGACCUGGGCCUGGAUUACUAUGUAAUAGGAGAAUCAUUUGAGACUUCUGUUCCCUGGGAUAGGGUUAUAGACCUCUGCAGGAAUGUAAAGGAAAGAAUAGUGAGAGAAUGCAAAGAAAAAGGUGUCCAGUUUGCUCCAUUUUCCACCUGCAGGAAUGGCUCAUCCUGCCUCAGAGUCCAGUCCUCCCUUGUCCUAAGGAAGCCCAACUGCUCUUGAUUCCUUCUGUCUGUCCCAACAAGCAGGUCCUCCAGAGUCCUUCAGUGUCAUCUUCUGCUGUCUCUGUGGUUCCUCUCCUGGCUGAAUGGGUUCCCUGUCAGCAUCGGAAUGUCCUGCCAAGUCAAACACAAGGCAGCAUAAUAUUUCAUUUCUUCUUUGAAGAAACCUAAGAAAUCCCCAUGCACAAAGUAACCAUGCUGCUGAAGGCCCCAAUAUUGAUACUUUUUAGCAUCCCAGGAAUGCUUAGACUCCUUCCUUCAGACUGCUUUUGCUGCCCAUGAGGAGAGAGCUGAGGAUACAAAUGGCUGGCCAUCGUUUGGAGAAUGCAGCAGUUUUGCUAUGAACGGAAAAAAGAAGUGGCCUUCCAGCUCUGUGGAGGACACCCAGCCACCUGUGCCAGAAAGAUGUUUCUGCUAAUGGUGACCCUGCUACAUAUUGCUGAGUGGAGGGGUUUGGUUAACUUUUGAAGAUGGACCAACCACAUUUGCCCUGCUGGUUAAAGAAUCCGCUUGAAUUUCUGCUAUACAAAAGAUUUGCUAAAUUUUGCUUACAUGACUGGAUGGCAAUUUUGAAAGGAAAUUAACUAAACUAUUCUAAGCUAGCAGACAGAAUUUCCGUGGAAGAGGAACAGAGAAUCACAACUGCCCCCCAACCCUCUCUUGCAUUGCCAGAAACUCUGGCCCCCUUGUCCAGCAAGCAGCAUUGAAAGGGACGGAAACUGAGUAGCACCACAAAUUUUAUUUUCUUCCCUGAACUUUUGGAUUAACACCGCAAGCCAGUUUCUUCUCCACUGCUAAGGGACACAGGAUGAUGUUUGUGGAGCCCUUAGAGUGGGUUGUUCAUCACCCCCGCUUCUGCAGAAUGGCUCAGCGUGGGGACAGGACAGAUGCCGAGUACGGGGAAUGGUACAAAACAUUUGAAAUGGUCAUGGAGUGAAUAGACUGCUCUGACUUUCUUCAGACACAUUUUUCCCUUUCCAUUCCUGGACUUAAGUGGCCCCACCAACCCCCUUCCAUGUGGCUCCCAUUUGUAAAGAGAAGGAAGACACAAGCACAUUGAUGGCUCAUCAGUAUUCUGUUAUCGCUUAUGCUAAAUGCUUUAUGGUAGUUCAUGGGAUUUCAAUAAAAUAAUUUACAGCCG